GAAUAAGAUAUAUUUUGUAUAAAUAAUAAAAUUUGCAAGGUGCUUCUUAUCUGUGAGUGAUAGAUCACAGAAAUGAGGAAGAUUAUUCAAAUGAAUUAAAAUAAAACAUAGUUUUCUGGCUCUUUUUUUUUUUUUUUUUUUUUUUUUUUUUUUUUUUACUUUGGAACCUAAACCAAACUAAUUUACAAAGAGAUCUUUUUAUUUUACUGCCUUUGUUAUACCUCUACAGGGACAGUUGUAUAGAUAACAGGAGAAAGUAUGACACAGUUCUAGUAAAGAGAUAGCAAUACUUUUCACAAUCCAAGUCAGAUACGUAUUUACAGUUCUCCCUACUCCUGCACUCUUGCUAGUCAUUCUUACAUCUGGAUUUUGACCCUUCUUUUGCAUACAUUUUUCCCACCUCCAAAAUAUGCUGCUGUUGAGCCAGAAAAUAAACAUUCACUAAAAUCUCAAAUUAAGCUUCCCCGAAUGAAUUGUGGAGGGACUUGAUCCUGCACUCACUGAAAUACAUACAAGUUUUAUUCACAGAUCACACAAGCAAAUGAGACAAGGAGCCUUAUGUUCAUAAUACCUGGGCAACCUCCAGAGCUGCAAAGCUGGAGCCUUUCUUUGAGAAAAAAAGAAAAGGCAGGAAGUCCCAGGCCACCUUCUACGCACAAGAAUAACAGGAGUGGAAGAAAGGUCGAAUGCAGCAGAAAUGACAAGAAUGGAUUUCAGAAGAGAACACUGAAGAAGAAUUACCCCGAACAUAAUAUGCUGGCCAGAAAAGCACAACUGAUAGCUGCCAAGACCAUUGUGGAACUAAAAUGCUAGCCGUGGUCAAAGCAAAUUAAAAUUUAUUAAGGGACCCUCACGUAUAAUUUUAACACAGCAGGAUUAUACUACCAGCUCUGCAAAGGGAGAUUUAGUCAGGUAAUUCUCGUUAAGGGGCAAACCCCUCUGACUUCUGUAAGUACUUUGCCUGAUGAAGCACUGAAGAACCAGGCCCUAAGGUUGGCACAGCUGAGCUCUAACCUGUCUGCCUUUACACAAGCAACAGCUUCACAUAUCAGCUCCAGCUCAUGCAGAGGAGUCUUACUAGGCACUCUAAUCCUAAGGGGAAACAUUUCAUUGCAAUGCACAGCAAUUUGCAUUCUUUCACAAAACUCUGCUAUUACAUUAUCCAUUUUUCUCUUGAUUAAAAGAGAUCAAGAAGUGCACACUCUCACACUACGCAUGCAGGCUUUCCAUACAGGAGGCCUGGAAUCUACAUUCAAAUUCAGACUGGAGGAGAUCUGGCAACUUCUAGCUCUUUAUGGAUUUAUGCUGUUCUAAUAACAGUCACAAAUUACUGAUAAUUAUUAAGGAGGGAAGUUACUGUGGUGGGGUUUUGAUGUUGUUGAGUUUCUAAGACAUUCAAGUGUAUCAAGACAUUUCAGAAGUAUCCAGUGCCAAGGAGUUCUUAAGCACUGCAAGCCCUCUGAGCUUGUGCAGAUGCUUUUGAUUUUCCUCACUGCAGGUCAACCUAUGGUGUUAGUUACUGGUAGGAGCAGAUGGAACUGAAGCUACGUUGGCACAAAGAAACUUUCAGAAAGUAGGCACAAAUUUAUCCAAGUGUUUUGAGGUUUAAGUCCUACAAUUAGGGUUUAUGUUACACGGUCCAUUCUAACACCUUCCUCCUAGGAGUGUCCUGGGAAAAUAACCAAGGACAUAAUCAAAAAGGACACCUAUGAUGCAUGCAGCAGCGUGAACUAUUGCAUCCCCUCCACCCAUAAGCACUAAGAAGAUCAGAACACAUUGAACAAGAGUCAAUCUCUGCUCCAUGAAUGACCUUUUACAGGAAUUUGGAUUUCUCUGUACUGCAGUGUUUCAUGAAUAAAACAUGGCACUUCUUUGCCUAGAAGGAAACA
rnacentral:lncRNA from 1 species